GAUUUGAAAUAUAGCCGUCGCUUUCUCUCUGCACACUUUCCCUCUCCAGCUAAUAAAAACAACUUUAUCACAUUCAAAAUUCAAAUUCAUUCCCAGAUCUCCAAAACCAUAAACCCAAUCUGCCAUUCAAAUUGGGUUACGGCAUAACUCAUUCCUCCCCACGCUCCUCCUAAAUUCUGUCGCCCCUGAUAUCAAAACCCUAAUUCUUAAUUCGCUAUGGAGAAUGCCUAAUUCUGUAGUUAAUUUUAUGUCGCUUUGAUGUUUAUCGGAAAAAGAUCCCCCCAUACUGAAGGUGGCUAAUGUUUCAUAGAUAUAAUCGGAAGACUUGCAGAACGUGGUGAAAAGGGUGAUGAUUUGAUACAAGUCUUGAGGGAACUAACCUCUGCAUAAAGAAAAAUUACAGAUUUGCAGGUUGAACUUUAAGGUCACAAGGGAUGCCAUGCAUACAUUGCAGCUCGAAGACACACUUGGCUUGCAAGAAUUCUCUUGAAAUUAGCCCAGGAGCCAGAGGUAAGAUGGUUAGUAUCUCUUGAAAUUGUGCUAAUAACCAACAAAUAUCCAAACUAACUGAUAAUCUAAAAGCACGAAGCUCACGGGUAUAGCGCUGGAGGACCGGAAUAACUUUGAUAAUCUGGGUAGAGUGUAGGGGGUGGUUGUGCCUUUUUUAUGGCUUUGUUUUUUUUUUUUUUUUGUUGUUCCCUGAGGUGUAUGUUGGCCUCCAUUUAGUGGAAGCUACAAUGCCACUAUACUUCUAAGUGUGAUAAAAAUGAUGAGAAGUUUUUGUAUGUGUCAUCCUCCCUUUUUUGAGACAAUGGAUGAAGCGAGCCUUAAUCCAAAUACAUUUUGGAUUAAGGCUUAAUCCAAAUACAUUUUUGAGACAGUGGUGGUACUCGAGCAUAGAUGGUUUGCUUUGGUGGUGAACAAGCUUUUAUCAGUAAAAUGAUUCAAGGUAGUGCUAAACCUAAACAAUCAUUCAGGUACUAGGGAUAGUUUUAUCUUUUGUGUUAUUACUUUGUAGUAUACUUUUGUGUUUGUUAUAGGUGGUAUACAUCCAUGGUUUUAACAAAAUGAUUUGAAAUGUGAUGCAUCUAGCUGUCUGCUCUUCUAGAUUAGAAUAUUCUUAAAUUGAAAACUAUAAGAAAAUAUAUGUAAUAUUAUAAGAAAGUAUGUAUUAAAAAUUUGUGCGUGAACAAUGUUUUGUUCUGUCAACAUGUGUUUCGCAAGAAGCAAAGAAAGGGACCCAAAAUAAUUGCAAAUGAAGUUGGAGGGAGUUGAGGUGGUUCAUGACAUAGAUAGGCAAAAGAUACCAAUAUGUAUCGUGAUUUCAAUUGCUGGUUUGGUAAGGUCUGAUAAAAUGUUUGAAACUAAAGGUUAUAGUACUGUAGUAGUUAUCAUCCAUGGUGCCAUUAUACAUAUCCUAAAGGCUUUCUUUGAAAUGUGGAUGUACAUUCAAUUGUUUGAUAAAAUGUUUCUAAUUAACAAUUUGAAGUUUCUAACGAAUUUAAUAAUCAUUACAAAUUCAAAUUUUAGCUCUUAUAUUUUUCAAUAUUAUAUAC